CAAUCGCGAAAGGCAAAGAUUGAGCAAACGUAACCUAAACUCUUUAACGUAACGAAUAUUAUUACUGCACCAUGGUAAUGAAAUGCUGUAUUUGCAAAAGACAAUAUAAUAAAGCUAGUGGAAUAUCGUUUCAUGCAUUUUCAAAAACAACAAACUCUCGAACAGCUUGGCAAAUAGUAUGUAAAUUGCAGCAACCUGUUUCUAAAACAGCUCGUAUAUGCUCCGAACAUUUUACAACAAAUAGUGUUAUGCCAAAUAGAGAUUAUGGUAUAAAAUUAUUAAAAACAUCAGCGAUACCAUCAAUAUUCCCAUGAAAUCAAAAAGAUAAUUUAACAAGGAAUAACAAUAUCGAACACACUUCUAUUCAAGUUGAUGUGGCUUCUACUACAUUAGAACAAAAUCAAGAUUGCGCAUACGAAACUACAUCUUCUUCAUGUGAAUUAACCAUUCCAUGUAACGAAGAAUGUAAUGUACUAAGAAUGCUGCCUGGUGAGAACGCUAACACAGAAUGUAAUUCAUCUUUGUCAGGAAUACCAUCAAAGCGACAAUUAGAAGAUACAUAGAUGUCCAACAUUCCUAAUAAAAUAUGGCAUCCUGCAAGAAUAGGAGAUCUCACACCAGAACAUUUUUCUACACCCCGAAGAGCUUUGCGAAAUUUACGAUUAAUACAAAAAAGUACCAAUGAGCAAGCAAGGAAAAUAAAGAUAUUGCAAAACAAGAAUAGAAGAUUACUUUAAAAAGUCUCAUCAUUACAGGAUCUGGUGUUACAUUUGAAACAAAAAAAUCUCAUAUCUGAAAAUGCGGCUCAUAGAUUAACGGUACAUUAACAUUGACAUAUUUUAUUAUUAAUUUGUACAUUUAUUAAUAGGUAAUAUUGAAGAACAAUUUGUACAUUUAAUUGUUUAUAUUUAUUACAUUAGUGCAAAAGUUUUUUGGACAUAAAAACAUAUGCAAAUAACGUAAUUACUUUGCCACCAACCAAUACUUUAACUGUUGACGAAAAUAUUUACUGAUAUGACUGAUUUACUGAAAAAUUAACUGAUGACUACAAUUGCUUAAUUUAUUCUAUUUGUUAAUCAUGCAUAGGAAUAUUCGACUGCACUAUCUGACUUAAUCAUGGCAAGUUUGAAGAAAAAAAACACGAUUUACACCGGAGCUCAGAAAAUUUGCGGUUACCUUGCAAUUGUACUCAAGUAAAGCUUAUUUAUACCCUAGUAGAAAUCUGUGCAGUUUUUCUAGACACCCAAGCAGUUACUGUCUAGUAUUACUGUAUUCUCAUAAAUUGUAUCAAUACUAUGUAGGAAAUGGACAAAAACUAGAUAGAGUUUUACUAAGCCCAUUUUAUGAGCAGUAAACUUGCUUAGUAAUAGGUUAAAUAGUUUCUUUGUCUACUUUUUGUUCAGUUUUUGUUCAGUAAAUGAGUUCAGAUUUUGUGCAUCUUUUGUGGCCAGUAACUGUAGGAAAAACGUUACAUCUUGAUCGGAAUCCCAACAGUUUUACUCGUCAAUUACUGGGCAGAAUGUAACAAAACUGUUCAAUAACUGCUAAAAAAUGCACGAAAUUACAUUUAUUAGCACGUGCUAAUUUAUUAAAUAUAUGUCUCAAAUUAUUGCACGAAACAGGAACAAUUUUGCAUUCAAUAACAUUUGAUGGUACACAUGUAAAUAAAUCGAUGUGAAAAACUAGGUGCAAGUUUUCAUCCAGAAAACUUAAAGCCUUUUGUUCAGCAUCCUG